AGGGGCUGGUAUGCUAGGUGGGAGGCACCUGUCACUCCCUGUGAAUUUUAUGCAGCUUGUGGACCUUUUGGGGUUUGCCAAAGAUACGAACCAAAUCUAACUUGUAGAUGCUUGAAAGGGUUUGUGCCAAAGUCAGAUGAGGAAUGGAGCAAACGAAACUGGACAAGAGGCUGUAUCAGGCGAACCGAAUUAAGUUGUGGAGGAAACACAAGUUCCAUUAACACACAAGGAGGAAAACCAGAUGGAUUCUUGAAGAUUGGUGGGUUAAAACUUCCAGA
rnacentral:misc_RNA from 1 species